ensembl:snRNA U6 U6 spliceosomal RNA
GUGCUUGCUCUGGCAGCACAUACACUAAAAUUGGAGUGAUACAGAGAAGGUUAGCAUGGCCUCUGCACAAGGAUAAUACACAAAUUCAUGAAGCAUUCCAUAUUUUU